CAAACCAUUUUUUUUGGUAGAAUUUAAAUUACAAAAUUACCCUUUAUAGCGGUAAAUUCUUUCACGCACAUCUAUCACGUCCAUCCUUUAUCGUUGCUACCUUCUCUCUUUUUCUCUGGAAUUCCCUCACGCGCCAUCGCCUAGCGUUUAAAACCCUUUGUCUCCUCUUCCAAACCUUCAUUCAUGGCGAUGAAGGACCGGCCUCCUUCCUCGUACGGCUCCAUCUACAUCCCUCCCGACCAUCGCCUCUGCUCCGUCAUCACCACCCCCAAUUAUACCUCCCAUGUUUCAAUCGGCUCAAAGCUCCAGGAAAAACCAGACUGCUGCUGCCGCCGCUGCUCUCAACAGGAGGAGCAGCACCAGUGGUGCUUUGGCGUACUACCAAACUCAGCAGAAGCAGGAGCAGCUGCAUAAACCCAAGCUAUAGCAGACUUCUGUUUACGACGACAACGUUUCCGAUGAAGGACUUUGAUCGCAAAGUUGAGUUGUCACCGCAUCCGGUGACAUUUCUAUAUGUGGAUUGUGUACUCGGAGAGUUGUUAAUGGGGAAGCAUGCGUGUUUACUAAGUGUGAAUUGGUGAUUGGGUUUCAAUAGGGCUCAACAGCUGAUCACACUGAUCAGAGAAUUAGUCUUGUUAAUUUUCUAAGAUCUUAUUAAAAUUUGAGGGAAGAUCAACAACUGACGCCGGCUCACUCUCAAGGCUAAUGCUCAGUUUGCAAAUGAGCCGCACAUGUCUAAUGGCAUGGUCAAUUUGGACUAUAAGGUCAUCUUUCAAUUUACAUGUUUCAGUUCUUCAAGAACAUUUUAGUGUACUAGAUUACCUUCAGCUUCGUUAAAGUCUCCAAGUUUAGUUUUAGAAGUACAUGGUGGUUCUCAUCUCAUGUGUCAUAUGGAUAUGGUGCUCCUAUGAUUACACAGGGUUCAGACUCACCAAUUUCUCCAAAAUAACGACCUAAUGUGAAGCAAUAAGAAAGACUUGUUCAUAUUGGUGCAGAAAUUAGAUGGCAUGCAAGGUCACCUACUAAAAAAAAGGGAAUACAACAAACUGUCAGGCAAUAAUAAGGCUUGGUGCAGAAGUUAGACUCUGAUGUUUGAAGAGGUGGACGAGUGUUUCAUUUUUUUAGUUUUUAAUUUGGUUGUUCAUUGACUCGCGUACUCAGUGCGAUGUGAAAUGCUGUGUUGAUUUUUUAUGUACGUUGCCGGUAAUUUAUUCGAAGUGUACUCUGAUUACGUUGCGGAUGGUGAUUGAAAAGUAGUGGAGAGAUAUUGUGGAGUUUGGGUUAGCAACUUUAUGAGAAGCUGCUUAAAUAUUUCAUUUUCACUUUUGUUGCUUCCCA